rnacentral:lncRNA from 1 species
CACUCUCCAUAUUUUUGGAUAAGAGAAUACCUCUACACAAUAUGAUAACACGUAGCAUAUCAACAUCCACUCUCCAUUUUCUGAAAGUCCAAAGUAAAAUAGAGACAAGAGAACACCACGGGAAAAUAUUAGUUUCAAUCGGGCCCAUCAAAAGGUAGGGUCUCCAAAUCAAUUGUUUUAUACCUCUUAAAAUAUAAAAUAUUUUACUUCAUAAAAUACUUUAUAUUAUACUAUUUUUAGAAUUAAAGUUAAUAAUUAAGUAUGAUUUUUGUUUUGGCGGCAAAGUAGUUGUUACCAGACAUACGUCAGUGAAUAUUAUUAUCUAAAAAAAUAUGAAAUUGAUUUUAUUAUCAAUUAAAAAAUAAUAUUAAACUUAAUAAAUUAUUUUAAAUUCUCAAAUGUAUAAAAACAUUAAUUUUGAUAACAAAAAUAUAAUCAUUUUAAUAAAAUAUUAUUAUGGCAUUUAAAAAUUUCGAUCCUUGUGGUAAAAAACAAAAAGCUGUGGGUCUAUUGAGUGGAGCCUUUAUUUGGAUUUGGAGAAUAUAUUGAGGAACAGUGUGGGUCUACUCAAAUAAAUACAUAUUUUAAUGAUUGUAUGUUUAUGAAAUGCAUCAUGAUAUAGUAUCAUAUUUUUGGGGAGACAUAAUAGAUGCUCAGGAGCUAAUUAAUGGUUUCCCCACUCACAAAGGUGUGGACAUCCACUCUACUUUUGGCAUGGAUCCCGCUGUGAGAAAAACAUUGAUUCUCAUUCUUUUUCAUACAAGACAAACAUGAAUUUUAAAUUUAUGAAAGAAAAAAAAAUGAGAGAAAAGAAAAAGGCAAAAGAGAAAAGUUUUGAUGUCUGUUUCUUGAGGGUUACCUUUUGUUGUUGAUUUAUAGCUAAGGUUGGGGUUAUUCUUAGUAUCUAUGAAAGAUUUUUUGUCUUUGAUAAGCAAGAUUUACAUGUGAGUAGUGACAAGGGAAGUUCACUUGGAUUAUUGUGGCGACUCAAUCAAGAUAAAACUCCACCACCGUGGAUACACGCAGUUAUACAUUAAAAGCGAUAAUGAAUCUCAUGUUGUUAAGAUAAAACAGAUGUUUUUGGUUUGUUUCACAUAAUAUUAAAGCUCAACCGUGUAUUGUAUUUUAUAUUAGACGGUCCAAAUCAUCCGCACAUAAGUUUGUGGAAUCCAAUUCCAACUUACUCGUCCAUCCACCUCUUCAUACCUCAUGACCUCGUAAAUACAUCAAUC